rnacentral:rRNA from 1 species
AUUGAACGCUGGCGGCAGGCCUAACACAUGCAAGUCGAACGAGCGGCGGACGGGUGAGUAAUGUAUGGGAAUCUGCCUGAUGGAGGGGGAUAACUACUGGAAACGGUAGCUAAUACCGCAUACCAUCGGAUGAGCCCAGAUGGGAUUAGCUAGUAGGUGGGGUAACGGCUCACCUAGGCGACGAUCCCUAGCUGGUCUGAGAGGAUGACCAGCCACACUGGGACUGAGACACGGCCCAGACUCCUACGGGAGGCAGCAGUGGGGAAUAUUGCACAAUGGGCGCAAGCCUGAUGCAGCCAUGCCGCGUGUAUGAAGAAGGCCUUCGGGUUGUAAAGUACUUUCAGCGGGGAGGCGUUACUCGCAGAAGAAGCACCGGCUAACUCCGUGCCAGCAGCCGCGGUAAUAC